AUUUAAUAUUCACUAAGGAACCAUAUCCAUAUAGAUCAACUAUAGUUUCGUUUUCCUAUAGGUGGUCAACAAUCGGAUGAUAAUAAAACAAUACUUACCAAUAAUUAAGUCUAACACGGAUGAAAGCAGGGAUUUCAAAAGACGCAGAAUCCUUUAUUGAAGGUGCACGCUGUAGUGGUUAUCAAAUGGCUGACACCUUUUGUUACAAGUACAAUGACACAAGUCGCUCAACGUGGAGCGAGGCCGAUGCGAGGUGUGAGCGUUUCUUAUCAAAUUGGAAAGCUUGACUAAGUUGCGUGUUGUUAGGUCGAUCAUACAAACCAAAGAGACGGGACGAAAUUCCGCGAAUCUAUCCAUCGAUGUCUGGGUCGGUGCUCGCAACUACUCGAAUGAUUUUGUGUGGAAAGAUGCCACUGGUGUGUCAAGCGAUCUUUGGAAUGAAGGUGAACCAAGCCACUGUGAUGAUUGCCGAGUAGAUUGUGUCCAAAUGACGGAGGGUUACUGCUGCCUGAAUAACUACCGGUGUGAUUUCAAACAAGCCUUCGUAUGCCAAGGUCCAAAACUCAAUAAAACUGAAGCGUCAUACCUCAUAAUCAUUGCGUUAGCGUCCGCAUUGUCUGUGGUUGGACUUCUGGCGGUCAUCUUAGUUAUUUACAUUUGCCUGAUUCAAAAGAAACGUCGGUAAGUGAAUUUUAUAUUUCAAAUGUAAUGCAACGUUGCGAUUCUAAGCGUAUGAUAUCAUUAUAUAAACAGUAAAUAUAUAUAGAUGUUCUCCCUAUAGCGUGAUCUAUAUAUUUACAACAUUGGUCGUCAUCGUUUCAAGACAUAAUAGAAAUAUGUGAAUUAAAAAAUACAUAUUUUGAAGAUCGUCUGCUGAAAGAUCACAACCCGCUAUAAAGCCACCUGACCAAUGCUCUGCACGCGCUUCUAACGAAGACCAUCAGUACGAUUGCGUCGCCACUACAGACGGAACAAACACAUUGUUAAUACUAACGGAAUGGUUUCACCAUAUAUCUAUUUUAAUUUAUAUCUUUUAAAUAUGAAUAACUUACACAUUGAGUCCCUAAUAACAGAUUUUAGUUUAAACUUAUUAUUGGUGGCUGUUUUAAUUUGCAUAUGUAAACGUAUAUAACGUAAAACGUGUCUUUGGGGGAAAUCUAAAGAACGCUCCCACGGUGGGGAUCGCAUCCGUGACCUCCCGGUCGCUAGGCGGACACCAAAUCCAUUACACCAUGGCGACCUUUCUCAUCCUUGGUACAAAAGGUUUCACAAAUAUUUGGUGCUCAAGAAGAGCAUAUUACUGUUAAGAGUCUUCCUUCUUUUGUCUUAGGUCGCACUUAAACAUGCAUUCAAGUACUAGACAUGAAUAUGCAUUUCUCAAUGUGUUAUUCAUGGGAUCGAAUAUUGUUGGCUGAUAACACUUAUUAAUCUAAUAGGGGAGAUCAUUUUCUUAUCGAUGAUUCUGUUUGCAUCUGAAUAUAUUAAAGUUAAUUGUUGUACACGUUUGAUUUUGUAGACGGCGGCUACCUACAGGUGACGUCGGGUUCUCAUACUGCAACAUUUAAGUGCUAAGAUGUGUAAUAGAACAGCGGAGCAUUGAAUCAGACAACAUUAUGCCACGGAGUUUGCUACCCAAACUGUCAGGACAUUUGGGUAGUUGCAUUAUUGUUAGUGGUGGUAUAAGAAAUAGUUACCUUAAACAACUGGAACAUAUUAAAAUGAAGAUGUGUUUUAAAAUCAAUAAAUAGCAAUAACAGCACCUUAACCAGUUUCCAUUAGGUAGACCUCGUAUUGAAAUACAUUAAGAUGAAUAUGUAGGUAUAAA